rnacentral:rRNA from 1 species
GCUUCUUAGAGGGACUUUUGGCUCAAGCCAAUGGAAGUACGAGGCAAUAACAGGUCUGUGAUGCCCUUAGAUGUUCUGGGCCGCACG